GCCGAAGUGGUGAAAUUGGUAGACACGCCACCUUGAGGGGGUGGUGCGCUCACGCGCGUGCUGGUUCGAGUCCAGUCUUCGGUACCA
rnacentral:tRNA from 7 species